rnacentral:tRNA from 1 species
UAGAUACUAGUAAAAUUUAUAACACUGCUUUGUCAAGGCAGAAUUGUGGGUUAAACCCCCGCGUGUCUUA